CCUACGGGAGGCAGCAGUGAGGAAUAUUGGUCAAUGGGCGUAAGCCUGAACCAGCCAAGUCGCGUGCGGGACGACGGCUCUAUGGGUCGUAAACCUCUUUUGUAAGGGAGUAAAGUGCGUUACGUGUAGCGUUUUGUAAGUACCUUAUGAAUAAGGAUCGGCUAACUCCGUGCCAGCAGCCGCGGUAAUACGGAGGAUCCGAGCGUUAUCCGGAUUCAUUGGGUUUAAAGGGUGCGUAGGUUGGUUUAUAAGUUAGCGGUGAAAUUCCGUUGCUCAACAUUAGAGUUGCCGUUGAAACUGGAGGGCUAGAGUAUGUAUGCAGCAGGCGGAAUGCGUGGUGUAGCGGUGAAAUGCAUAGAUAUCACGCAGAACACCGAUUGCGAAGGCAGCUUGCUAGGCC
rnacentral:rRNA from 1 species